AUAUCUUUCUCGGCCUUUUGGCUAAGAUAGGUGUAGUAUCUGUUCUUAUCAGUUUAAUAUCUAAUAUGUGGACCAUCGUUCCACACAAUAUUAGCUCAAUUUUUAAGGGGGGGGGGUAGUCUGUUAAGGUAGCUUGCUAGCUGGGCUUUUGCAUGUUGCCCAUGUGCUGCUCUACAGCACAGGCCUGGUGCACCCCAC
rnacentral:snRNA from 2 species